UACGUAGGUGGCAAGCGUUGUCCGGAUUUACUGGGUGUAAAGGGCGAGUAGGCGGGGAUGCAAGUCAGAUGUGAAAUACCGAGGCUUAACUUCGGGGCUGCAUUUGAAACUGCAUUUCUUGAGUGAUGGAGAGGCAGGCGGAAUUCCCGGUGUAGCGGUGAAAUGCAUAGAGACCGGGAGGAACACCAGUGGCGAAGGCGGCCUGCUGGACAUUAACUGACGCUGAGGCGCGAAAGUGUGGGGAGCAAACAGGAUUAGAUACCCUGGUAGUCCACACUGUAAACGAUGGAUACUAGGUGUGGGGGGUCUGACCCCCUCCGUGCCGGAGUUAACACAAUAAGUAUCCCACCUGGGGAGUACGAUCGCAAGAUUGAA
rnacentral:rRNA from 1 species